UGCGGGGUGGUGUAAUGGUCGCACGCCGGGCUUUGGACCCGGAGAUCUAGGUUCGAUCCCUAGCCCCGCAG
rnacentral:tRNA from 1 species